CAUCAGGUGGCUGAAAGUUAGCACUGGUCUCUUAAACCAUUCUAUAGUAAUUAACAUCUACUUCUGAUGA
rnacentral:tRNA from 1 species